rnacentral:tRNA from 1 species
UGGGGCGUGGUGUAAUCGGUAGCACGCCAGACUUUGGAUCUGGUAGUGGAGGUUCGAGUCCUCCCGCCCCAG